AGUGAACGCUGGCGGCAGGCCUAAUACAUGCAAGUCGAACGGCAGCACAGCAGAGCUUGCUCUGUGGGUGGCGAGUGGCGGACGGGUGAGGAAUACAUGGGAAUCUGCCCAGUCGUGGGGGAUAACGUAUGGAAACGUACGCUAAUACCGCAUGCGCCCUAAGGGGGAAAGCCGGGACCGCAAGGCCUGGCGCGAUUGGAUGAGCCCAUGUUCGAUUAGCUAGUUGGCGGGGUAAAGGCCCACCAAGGCGACGAUCGAUAGCUGGUCUGAGAGGAUGAUCAGCCACACUGGAACUGAGACACGGUCCAGACUCCUACGGGAGGCAGCAGUAGGGAAUAUUGGACAAUGGGGGCGAACCCUCGAUCCAGCCAUGCCGCGUGAGUGAAGAAGGCCCUCGGGUUGUAAAGCUCUUUUGUCCGGAAGAAAGCAAUCGGUUAAUACCCGGUUGUUCUGACGGUACCGGAAGAAUAAGCACCGGCUAACUUCGUGCC
rnacentral:rRNA from 1 species